UACGUAGGUGGCAAGCGUUGUCCGGAUUUAUUGGGCGUGAAGCGCGCGCAGGUGGUUUCUUAAGUCUGAUGUGAAGGCCCACGGCUCAACCGUGGAGGGUCAUUGGAAACUGGGAGACUUGAGUGCAGAAGAGGAUAGUGGAAUUCCAAGUGUAGCGGUGAAAUGCGUAGAGAUUUGGAGGAACACCAGUGGCGAAGGCGACUGUCUGGUCUGUAACUGACACUGAGGCGCGAAAGCGUGGGGAGCAAAC
rnacentral:rRNA from 1 species